UCGAAUGCAAGCGUCUAUUGAUGUAGAUGAAUUUAGCGAGAUGGGCCAGCCCGAAAGCCCCUCCCCCUUGCCCCAAGGAAAGACAUCCACAGAAAUUCUUGAGAAAUCCUGGAAAAAACGUCUGUCAUACCGAGAUGUCAGACAUUCUCAGAAGUCCACUGUGUUCUGCAUUGUUGCGAUUGUUGCAAUAUAUAUUGAAAUGAACACACACAUAUUUGAAACGAUUUUCAAGACCAACACAUCAGUUUUUUGGUAUAUAGAAAGUUGGUUGCUGAUAAUCUUUGUGUUAGCUGUGAUUGUUGAUUGCACAAGAUUCCUGUGGUACAAGUGGUUCAAUACACAAGUCCCAGUGACAGAGACACAGAAACGUCUACUGGGGGUCAGGGAUAAUGAUCCCGGUUUCACACUGUCACCCAUCAGGAGCCCAGGCGCAGCCAGCAGUGAGCCCAGCCUUGUGUUCUCCAGCAGCACCCCAUCCAGCAGUCACACUGCCUACACCCCAGGGUCCAUCCCAUCCAGCCCCUGGGGUAGCGGAGGUCAGCUGACCCCCACAAAUCUGGGCUCCUUGUCGGACUCAGCUCAUGGGUAUGGCGCCGGAAACUCAAGCCACUCUUUCCUGUCAAACAGUGGACAUGCAUCUUAUGAUAGGCACAGCACAAGCCUGCCAAUAAUGGGCAGCAACGCAAGCAGCUUGAACAUGUCGUCACUUUCAAACGCAUCGUUCCACAGCGGGGCAUACUCACCUGGGGCAUCCCUGUCUAGUCUGGACUGGAGUGGACUGCGGUCUAGACUCUCGCUGUCAUCAUCCGUUAGAUCACCAUCACCCUCAGACAAGAUGACAGAUCUCCAGUCACUGUCCAUGUAUCUGAAGGACCAGGAAGACAAGGAAUUCAAGGCUUCCUUGAGUUCACAGGUGGACGCAUCGUUCAACAGCUCCUCGUUCUGGAGUUAUGGCCGUCCCAGCCUGGAGAUUGGUAACCUUGGUAACCUGCUGCGCAAGAGCCAGUAUCAGCUGGCCAGUCGCUCCCCCCAGUCACACAAGUCACGCACCGACGACACAGAUAACAUGGGAGAAGAGGUGUGGCGUCCAUUAGGAGUAACAGAUGACAAGUUGUUUAUGUGGAUUGAAAGGCUAAGAAAGUGGCUGGGCAACACGAUUAUGGUGAAGCUGGCAAGGGAGAUAGACAGUGUGAACUCACAGCUGAGGAAGAUAGGUUGUGAAGACACAGAGAUUGGAGAGGUGGGAGUAUCCACAUUGAAGCAGCUGGCCCUAACCAAGGGCCCUUAUGUCCCCACAUUGAACAUCCUGGUGCCUUACCUGGAUUUCUCAUCCAACCAAGAGUACCUCAUAAAGCGUAUCAAAGAGCUCGGUGGUGAUGGUUGCAUCAGUGAGUAUGUCUGGAACAAGGGCGGGACAGGGGGCCAGUACGGGAAACAGUGGAGUGAGCACCUGCCCACUGACGCACAGCUGGUGAUGCACAUGUUCUGCACUUACAUGGACUCCAGACUUCCUCCUGACCUAAAGUACCCUGAUGGAAAAACGUUCACCAGUCAGCAUGUUGUUGUAACACCCGACAAACCAGAUCUCGGCAAGGACAACCUGUUGCUGUACCAGUCCAGCAUCAGCCCACCUCACUUUCAUGUGGUUGUCAAGGAUACCAUAUACAGUCUCCCUAAGGGCCGUAACAACAUGUUCCAUGCAAUCCUCUACUUCCUUCAUCAUAUCCGGUACAAGGGCAACGGAAUGCUGGGGAGAGUCAACCUUGGCAUGUCAGGAGUCAACAUUCUCAGUGUCCUCGAUGAAUGAAAAGGAUUUUUCACUACCAGAGUAAUAGAUUGUCCAUCAUGAAAUGUGAACAGGACGUAAUACCAAUUUUCUAAAGAAAUUUGUUGUACAAUGUUUUAGAGAUUGUUGUAAGAAGGGCAUUGGAAUUAGUUUAAUGAAAUUUGUUAUCAGAUUGAAAAUAGAAUCCUAAAACUGAACAACGAUGAGUCAGCAGUUUUUAAUACUGAACCAUGAUGAGUCAGCAAGUUUGAAUAAUGAACCAUGAUGAGUAAGCAGUUUUGAAAACUUAGCCGUGAUGUGUCAGCAGUUUUGAAUACUGAACCAUGAUGAGUCAGCAAGUUUGAAUACUGAACUAUGAUGAGCCAGCAAGUUUGAAUACUCAACCAUGAUCGGUCAGCAGUUUUAAAUACUGAACCAUGAUGAGUCAGCUUUUUGAAUACUGAACCAUGAUGGGUCAGCAAGUUUGAAUACUGAACAACGAUGAGUCAGCAGUUUUGAAUACUGAACCAUGAUGAGUCAGCAAUUUUGAAUACUGAAUUAUGAUGAGUCAGCAGUUUUGAAUACUGAACCAUGAUGAGUCAGCAAUUUUGAAUACUGAACCAUGAUGAGUCAGCAGUUUUGAAUAUUUAACCAUAAUGAGACAGUAGUUUUGAAUACUGAAUUAUGAUGAGUCAGCAGUUUUGAAUACUGAACCAUGAUGAGUCAGCAAGUUUAAAUACUUAACCUUGAUGAAUCAGCAAAUUGGAAUACUAAACUAUGAUAAUUCAUUAAUUUCAAAUACUGAACUAUGAUGAGUCACCAAGUUUAAUACUGAACCAUGAUGGGUAAGCCUUUUUAAUGCUUAAUUAUGAGGAGUCAGCAAUAUUUGAUACUGAACCAUGAUGAGUCAGUAUUUUUUUUAAUACUGAAAACAUGAUAUUUCAUUAUUUUUUAUUACUGAACAAUGAUGAAUGGGCAAUUUUGAGUUCUCAGCAUUGAUAAGAAAGCAGCUUUGAGUACUGAAUAAUGUGAGUGGUUUUGAGUACUGAAAUGCCAUGUUUAUGCAAAACAUGUAUUGUAAUUAUUUGAGCCACAUUCUGUGAAAAAGGGGAUUAAUGCAUGUGCGUAAAGUGUCGUCCCAGAUAAGCCUGUGCAAUUAGCUGUGCACAGGCUUAUCAGGGACAAAACUUUCCGAUUAAACGGGAUUUUUGCCAAGAAGAGACUUUCUUUAAACAGAAAAUAUCAGAAAAGCAGAAAGUGUCAGCCCUGAUUGGCCUGUGCGGAAUACAGGCUAAUCUGUGCCGACUGAACAGGCUAAUCUGGGACGACACCUUACGCACAUGCAUUAAACCCCCUUUUCACAGAGCAUGGCACAUAUGUAUCAUACAGUUUGUGUUCUUAUGUAUUUUAAUACUGGCAGUAUGCUUGCCUAAACUUGUGUAUGGCUUUGCAGUUUUUAAAAUCCAUAUGUGUUCUGAUUUAUUCAUUCUUGUAUCUUUUGAAAAUCAUCAGUCAGCAUCAUGCAUCAUUUGUUUCUUAUUGUUGAAUAUUCAUUUUAUGAUUCCAGUCAACAAAUACAAUACAUGAAACAAUUUUCUGGUGCUGGGUAAAGUAACCACAGGUUUGUCAUGUAGUUGACUGUACAUGUUGUGAUGUAGUUUUACUAUAAAUAAGAUGAAAACAUAUUUUUAAAAGGCACGUUAUUUAUUGCGGUUUGUACAGGACAACUAAACUAUUGGUACAGGCAAAUAAUACAAUAAUCUGCUAGUCCAAUGGGACAAGUCUUUUUUUAAUAUACUAGUACUUAAAUUGGUCUUAAAAAGCCAGUAUGUGGUUUCAAAUUAACCUACAAAACAUUGUGUUAACCUGUUACUGCAUUCUUACACACUAUACCAUAUUGUUGAUAAGGGAAAAAUGCAUAUUCAUUUCCCAAAACUGUUGCAGUGUGUUCCCUUAUGUUUUGUAUAACCCUUUGCAUGCUGGGAAAUUUGUCGUCUGCUAAAAUGUCGUCUGCUGAAUUUCUAAAAUAAGCAUUUUCUUCAUUUUUUUUCAAAGAAUACUAUCAGAAUAGCAAACAGUUUGGAUCCAGAUGAGACGCCACGUUCAUCUGGAUCCAAACUGUUUGCAAAGGCCUUUAAAAUUCGGUUCCCGCACUGAAAGGGUUAACAACGUCAUAUUCGGUUUUGUUAAAUAAAUAGUUGUGUAUGCACAGUAAUUGACAGUUAAAAUAUUGCUGCUGGUAUAUCAAAUGUGACUCAUGUGAUCUAUGUUAGAGUAAAUUAAUAGUUUUCAAUAUCA